GACGAACGCUGGCGGCGUGCUUAACACAUGCAAGUCGAACGGAAAGGCCCUGCUUUUGUGGGGUGCUCGAGUGGCGAACGGGUGAGUAACACGUGAGUAACCUGCCCUUGACUUUGGGAUAACUUCAGGAAACUGGGGCUAAUACCGGAUAGGAGCUCCUGCUGCAUGGUGGGGGUUGGAAAGUUUCGGCGGUUGGGGAUGGACUCGCGGCUUAUCAGCUUGUUGGGGGGGUAGUGGCUUACCAAGGCUUUGACGGGUAGCCGGCCUGAGAGGGUGACCGGCCACAUGGGACUGGGGGACCGGCCCAGACUCCACCGGGGGGCAGGGGGGGGGAAUGUUGCAAAAGGGGGGGACGCUUGAGGCACAAACGCCGGGUGGGGGAGGACGGCCUUGGGGUGUGAAACAGCUUUCCCCUGUGACGAAGGGUGAGUGGGGGAAAUGGGGAAAAAAGCACCGGCUAAUUACGG
rnacentral:rRNA from 1 species